UAAUUAUAAUCAUAAUCAUAAUCAUAAUCAUAAUUAUAAUCGUAUCUGUACGGUCGGUCGUAUCUGUUCCCUGAUUGGUGGAGCAGAAAUGUCAGCCAAUCAGAAUGCAGGAAUGUCACGGAAAAUUUCACGGGACGGAAUUUUCGAAAUUUUAAUAUUGAUUAUAAAUUUUGUUUGCAAUAUUAAAUCUUAAACAUCCGAAAAGCUUAGAUGGUAAUCUUAAAUUUUGCGUGAUCUUAUAAAUCCAAAUAUACAUACCAUCAACUCGACCAAUACAUUUAAUUAUUUUAUUAUUUUAUAAAUAUUAACUGAAGGAGAAAAAUAUCAGAAAAUCUUUAUGAACCCCAGCAUUAUACAUAUCCCAGAUAACAGGUCGCGUUGAAUUCGCUUAGAGAAUUCGCAGAGAAUGUCGCGUUAAAACAGAACUCGAAUUCUCUCAGAUUUCGUUAUUAUUCUCGUAUCGAAUUCGCAUCGAGUUCGGUAAUUAUUCGUACCUAAAUUCGAUAUUACGCUCAUUUCAGAAUUCGUAACGAAUUAGACUCGAAUUCUCAGAGAAUUCUUCUAUCGAAUUCGAAACGACUUCACUAUGAAUUCUUAAACGAAUUCGCUGUUAUUGUAGUUAGGAAUUCUCCCCGAUUUCGGUAGGAAUUCUUCUUACAGGAAUAGGAGACUAUAUACUGUUCGCCUUAAAUCUCGAAUUCGUAAAUAAUCCUUAGAGAAUUCACUGUGAUUUCUCUCUUUCACGCUGUUAUUAUAUUUUUAAGUAAUUUUAGCUGCCACAUUCAAAUCUUUCCUCAUGGGAAGGAGACGACUUUUUCAGUUGAGUGCUCGCCAAAAAAGAAGACUUGUAAAAAGACGAAGUGAAAUUUUUGAGGAAAAUUUAAAUAGUGACCUAGUCCAGGCCGAAGGGGAAAACAUUUAUUUAGAACAAGUGUUCGAAGAAGAUCUGGAAGAAAUUGAAGUCGGAAGUAACACGAGUGAAGGAAGUUCAACUGAAACAAUUAGCUCAGAAAGCGAAGAUGCGGUAGCAGCUCACCCUAGGACUCCAAAUUUUCCAGACGAGGGCACAGUUGACGAAGAAAUACAAAAAUCUCUUAAGAACGUCGCAGAUAGAGUUGGGAAGCGAAGUGACUUAACAUCGCGGCCAAUUUCACUACCAGGGUCAUCUGAUUAUUCAACUUAUGUUUAUUUUAAUGUAAACAGUUAUGUAUAUUACAUGAUAUUUAGAAUAAAUAAAAUAAACUAUAAGCUGGAUUAACUCGAAA